CAGAAACAAAGUUAAUGAAUUUAACAAAAAAACAACUAGUGAAACGAUAUUUGGCGUAUAAAAGGACUAUUAACGUUGAAGUUAAUAAAUUCAAAUCAGAUUGUGCUUAAUUUAAAGCAGAAUUAUUAGCAGAAAGGG